CCUGACAGACUUCUUGUGUGACUGUGGGCGGCUCUCCAAGUCCUCACCAUCAGAUGAAAUGUCAUCUUCUCUCUCCGGGUCAUUGUGAGAAAACAAUGAGAGCAUGCUUGAGCCUGUUCAGAGCAGGUGCUCAGUAGCAGUGGCUGACACAAGUAGAGGCUUACUAAACACUCCCAAGAGUGAUGAUGAGAGUCACUGCCAGUUCCCUUCAAGGGAAAUGUGUUGGGGUGGGAUAGCCACAGUCACCGUGACAACAGAGAUGUAUGACGAGUCUUAGCAUACAGCUCAAGUCCCUGGGAGACCACGGGGGAAGAGGAGAAGGGUCUGCACUGAAGGCCAAUUGGAGGAAAUGGCAAGGGGGUUCACCUCUUCACUGUCUGUUCCAGUACUUCUUACUUCAUUGAUGUUACCAGUGAACAAUGGAGCUGCCACUCACAGCCAUCCCGCUGACAUCACUCAGCUUCCCUGAGGAGAAGAACUAAGAUUCCUGAGGCCGAUUCCACCAGAGAAAGCAGCAGAAAACAACCCGCAAGCAAUCAACACUCCAAAUAGCACCCAGUUCCACGUAUGCGGCAGACCUUCUUAUACGGAAACCAUUAUUUUGUUUUAUUUUUGUACAUUGAACUAAAUCAGGCUGUUGGAGAUGUGUACCCUUCGUCACUA